UACGUAGGAUCCGAGCGUUGUCCGGAUUUACUGGGUGUAAAGGGUGCGCAGGCGGAUUGGUAAGUCAGUGGUGAAAUCUCGUCGCUUAACGACGAAACUGCCUUUGAUACUAUCAGUCUUGAAUCCGGUAGAGAUCUGUGGAAUUCCGAGUGUAGCAGUGAAAUGUGUAGAUAUUCGGAAGAACACCAGUGGCGAAGGCAGCAGAUUGGGCCGGUAUUGACGCUCAGGCACGAAAGCAUGGGGAU
rnacentral:rRNA from 1 species